UACGGAGGGAGCUAGCGUUGUUCGGAAUUACUGGGCGUAAAAGCGCACGUAGGCGGCGAUUCAAGUCAGAGGUGAAAGCCCGGGGCUCAACCCCGGAACUGCCUUUGAAACUAGAUUGCUAGAAUCCUGGAGAGGUGAGUGGAAUUCCGAGUGUAGAGGUGAAAUUCGUAGAUAUUCGGAAGAACACCAGUGGCGAAGGCGACUCACUGGACAGGUAUUGACGCUGAGGUGCGAAAGCGUGGGGAGCAACAGG
rnacentral:rRNA from 1 species